rnacentral:rRNA from 1 species
GAAUUGGCGCGGGCCCGCACAAGCGGUGGAGCAUGUGGUUUAAUUCGAUGCAACGCGAAGAACCUUACCUACUCUUGACAUCCAGAGAACUUUCCAGAGAUGGAUUGGUGCCUUCGGGAACUCUGAGACAGGUGCUGCAUGGCUGUCGUCAGCUCGUGUUGUGAAAUGUUGGGUUAAGUCCCGCAACGAGCGCAACCCUUAUCCUUUGUUGCCAGCGGUUCGGCCGGGAACUCAAAGGAGACUGCCAGUGAUAAACUGGAGGAAGGUGGGGAUGACGUCAAGUCAUCAUGGCCCUUACGAGUAGGGCUACACACGUGCUACAAUGGCGCAUACAAAGAGAAGCGACCUCGCGAGAGCAAGCGGACCUCAUAAAGUGCGUCGUAGUCCGGAUUGGAGUCUGCAACUCGACUCCAUGAAGUCGGAAUCGCUAGUAAUCGUAGAUCAGAAUGCUACGGUGAAUACGUUCCCGGGCCUUGUACACAC